ACACGACUCUCGGCAACGGAUAUCUCGGCUCUCGCAUCGAUGAAGAACGUAGCGAAAUGCGAUACCUGGUGUGAAUUGCAGAAUCCCGCGAMCCAUCGAGUCUUUGAACGCAAGUUGCGCCCGAGGCCAUUCGGCCGAGGGCACGCCUGCCUGGGCGUCACGC
rnacentral:rRNA from 1 species